GUGAAUCAUCGAAUCUUUGAACGCACCUUGCGCCCCAUGGUAUUCCGUGGGGCAUGCCUGUUUGAGUGUCACGUGAACCUCUCACUCGUGUCUUGCCGUGAGGCUUGGCACGCGGUGGACUUGGACUGUGCCGUUGUUGGCUCGUCUUGAAAUGCAUUAGCUGUGCUGCGCGAUUUCGGCCGCCUGGUGUGAUAAAUAUCUACGCCAACUUAUGCGUCGUCAUCCGUGUGUGUGGCUCAUAACCGUCUUCAUUGACACACUUUAACGCUCUGGCCUCAAAUCAGGUAGGACUACCCGCUGAACUUAAGCAUAUCAAUAAGCGGAGGA
rnacentral:misc_RNA from 1 species